rnacentral:tRNA from 1 species
GCGUAGCUCAGUUGGAUAGAGCGUCUGACUACGGAUCAGAAGGUCGAGGGUUCGAAUCCUUUCGCA